rnacentral:rRNA from 1 species
UCGAGAAUAUUCGACAAUGGACGAAAGUCUGAUCGAGCGACGCCGCGUGCAGGAUGAAGGCCCUCGGGUUGUAAACUGCGGUAGUAGGGGAGGAAUUUCGAUGACUGUACCCUACGGAAAGUGGUUGGUAACUACGUGCCAGCACCAGCGGUAAUACGUAGACCACAAGCGUUAUCCGGAUUUAUUGGGCGUAAAGCGCAUGUAGGAGGCCCGGUGCGUCUCUGGUUAAAGCCCACUGCCUAACGGUGGAACUGCCGGAGAUACGAUCGGGCUGGAGGAGGUGAGAGGUGCAUGGAACUCACGGUGUAGGGGUGAAAUCCGUUGAUAUCGUGGGGAACACCAAAGGCGAAGGCAGUGCACUGGUACCUUCCUGACUCUGAGAUGCGAAAGCGUGGGGAGCAAAAAGG